CAUAGGCAUCAAGUUUCUUAGGUAAAAAUAGCACAUAAACGCCCUCCCAUUUUGAAUACAAUGAGCUCUUAAUAAUGACUUCAGAAGUGGGAAUGAUCAAGUUUCUGAUAGCACAAUAAGGUAGCAUAUAUGGUUUCUCUGAUUAUAGGAAAUAAUCGCAUUAUUGGUGCACGUGUACAGUCACUGACUUAUUUUUAGCUCAACCAAGUUUUACUUGGGCUGAUUUCCAGAUGUGUAAUGCCAAAAGUUUGAGGCCAGUGGGGAUGAAUGAAUGGAAAGUAUGGGCGAGACACAGUACUACUACAAUAGACUAUUUCAAAGCUAUUAUUCCUAAAUACAUUUAAAUGCAUGUUUAUUACAAUGAACGUCACGCUAAAGCAACAUGGGAAGCACCUAGGGCUUGAGGCACAACGGUGUUGGUUUGUAUUUGUGUUGUAGGUUAUGAUGGAAAAUUUUAUAGCCUACAAACCGCAUUCAUGUUUUGACGUUUAACGAAUCAAUGUGCAUGUAGAGGUGAUGAAAUACAAACCUGUUUACCGUUGAUGAGAGAUUUUGCAAUGACAGUUUCUUUCAUGGGUGGAUACUGGAUAAGCGUUCCUCUAUUGAAUUGACUUUUAUUUAUAGAGCACUUUUCACAGUAGACUACAUGUUCAAAAGUAGUUUUGCUAAAAAAAGUGCCUUACAAAGAAGAAAAUGUGUUCGGAAGCAACAACACCACCUUGACCAUUUGGAUAAGAGUCAUGCAUAUAACUAUAACAUGAUAGAGUAGUAUUAACUUGUAUUUGAACUUACUGAAAUUGCAAUUGGUUGCUUGCAUCACCAUUAUGAUAGAAGGGGUAAUUUGUAGGUUUGUGACAGCACCAACUGCUGGUCACAAAUAUUAUAGAAAAUUGAAUGAGUCAUUUUCAAAAAAUGGAAAGCUUAAUGACUCGUACAUUAGAGUUUUGCAAUUGGCGUUGCUGCAGAGUGAGUCAGAGUGGAAAGACGGUGAAGACAUACAGACCGAAGCAGAAUCAAAACCAUGAAUGCUGUAAAUUGUAUGCAUCUGUUCAUUGUGGUUUGGACUUUUACUGCAGUCUGUCGAGCUGAUGAUGAUGUCUGCAGUGUAAGCUGUGAGGAUGUUGACUGGAACUGUGGGUGAAGAAGUAACUUUCACCUGCAGCGUCUCUCAGAAGUGCUCUGAAUUCUGUAUUACAUUGUAUAAGUUUUACUACCCUGAGAUCUAUAAUGGCUCAACAAUCUGUAAACAAAACAACUCCUGUGAACAGAGAAACAGCUUCACAUGCAGACACACUCCAACUACAGCAAUGACUGGGAAAUUCAGAUUCUUUGUGCAAACAAAGAGUGGAAUGAAAAGAACAGAAUUUACUGUGAACAUUACAGAGACACCAUCACCAACAGGAGAGGUUUCUGGAUUAACAAAAAGAAAUCAUACUGAAUCAAUACCAGAAGAAGUUUCUGGAUCUACUGUCGCUUGUUCAGUUUGCCGGCUGUUUCAUCAUCAUCUUCAUCAUCAUCAUAACGAUGACAAUCAUUUACAAAAGGAAACCAAACUACAGCAAACCUUAUGAUUUCCAGAGGAGGAUGUUUCUGUGCCUCAGACAUGAUGAAGACAACAGCAAUUUGCAACAGCAAAGCCCACAAAAUGAGAUCAAUAGCACUGACUCAACAGUAUGAAAGCAAUGAGUUUUGUUUGACUUUUAAUGUGAAGCUCAUGAAAGACCAACUUUAUAGGAACUUAAUUAACUAUAUCUGUACAUACAUUACUAUCUGUCAUAUCUCAAACUGAACUAUAUAACUGUGGUUGUAGAUUUUAAACCUGUUUCUGUUUUAUAUUGAUUUCUGUGAUAUAUGAUUAUCUUUUUGAUCAGUGUAUAUUUUUGGCAUUGUGUGAACAUUACGAGGCAAUGCAGAAAAACACAAACUGUGUUUGGUUUUGCUCUUUUUUUCCUGAUUUCCAAGGAAUCUCUAUAAUGAAUGUCAGUUUUGUACUGGUUAAGUGGUAUUGUGAUUUUUUACUUUUAAUGUUCUAUACCUGCAAUUUUCUAAUGCUGUGAAUGGUGCGAUUUUGUACAGGGUUCUUUUUUAUUUAAAAAAAAAAAGAAAAAGAAAAAUGGAAUGAAUAAACACGUGUG